rfam:Cavia porcellus supercont2_7 genomic scaffold, whole genome shotgun sequence.
UGGCGCCCAGCGUGGGGUACCUGGCAUGAAGGGCUCAACGAAGGAGCCAUCCUGAGAUGCGCACAUAAGAAAGGAACUAAGAGUUUUGUGACCAACACUAAGCAGGAGCCUGCCACGCUGCUCGAGUCACGGUAAGUGGACAGCGAUACUUUUCCUUUUUUUCUGGCAUGGUUCAGGCAUUAACUGAUCAUAAACGCUUUGUGUCAGGUUAAGUAAAGCUUUAAAGACAAGAGGGAUAAAGGCUAAAGAAAAAGAUUUAUUGCAAUACUUUCAAUUUAUUCAUAAAGUUUG